CUGAGUAAAUAAGGUUUACAAACCCUUCUGGGGUGAGUACUCCUUUCUUCUCUUCACCCUUUGUUAUAAUUACUUAGUUGCUUUGGUAGAGUGCUUCGGCGUCUACCAAGGGACCAUUUUAAACACUUUGUUAUCCAAUAAUUGGUUGUCUUCAGUCUGAUUUUUAUAACUUUAAUAAGUAAAUA
rnacentral:misc_RNA from 1 species